UCUGGUCUGGGCUAAAUAAGGGCAUCUGGUUGACCAUUUCUACUGUCUUUUGCAUCGGUUUCCGAUAGGCCCUCCUUUUGCCAAAGACAGAAACCACUGGCCCUGAAAACAGUUCGACCAAGCAUCUCAUUGGUGUAGGCUUAGGUGAUGCCGUAGUUGGGAUUGUUCAGUUUGAAACACUGCCAUAAAAUCAAUAUCUCUGAACAUAGUGGAAAAAAAAUCGAGGCAUCACGAUUCUUCAAUACUUUCCACAUCUGUUUUCCUCGAACUUGUGGCUUUUAUCAGCUUGACUGAGAUUCAUUUGAUAUAACUAUAUUGCCUAACUUCGUACGUACGAAGACGAGGUUGUCAGUACUGGACUUGAAAACUGAAGAUGGGCGUGUUCGUUCUUCUAACUUCUGCAUUUUCUAGUCAUAAGAGUUUGUAUUUAUAUCUGUUCUGAAAGUGGAACUUGAGUUAUCAUCUACACCCAGGGUAUGUCGGAUAAAAACUGCAGUAGUACAACGGAACAGGCGUUAAGCUCGUUUUUAUCCCGUACAUCAGAUCCACCUUGGAAGGUUGUCUACGUGGCAACUUCAGAUGGUCACGACUUGAAACUUGCUCGUCAGCUCGUGAGUCUCCCUACCUCAGGAAAACCUUAUUGAUUUGCGUUGUUGCUAUUAUCGUUACACUAAAUGUGUGUGUAUUAUGUUUUUUUGAAUUUAUUUUCAUAAUUAAUUUUGAACGAUAAAUUACUGGGUGCGUUCCAGAUAUUCAAAGUGGUGGAACUUUAUGAGUACCAUAAACUUAUCGGCAACAGAUUAUAAAUGUAGGUUAGAAAGUCGACAAAGUUCAGUUAUCCACCUUUUGGCGUCAUACUGCGAUAAAUGAAAAAGGGGAAAAAAUCAGGAUGUGCAUCUGUCACAAGUGUUACACUGUACAAAGCAAGAAAAAACUAAUGAAUCGAGGUUUGAUUUGUAUCAGUUUUCUGUUCUCGUUGUAAUUGACCUUCUUCGUUCGGUUCUUCCUUUUACACUAUCGACAGUUAUUACGAAAGAGCAUGAGUGAUGAUACAAAUAAUUUUACAGCAGCUGCUCGCAACACAGCGCUGUAACCGUGAUAACGGAUUGGACUUUCCAGAAAGCCACGUGGUGUUCAACAGGUGGUAGGAACUGUCAGAGAAUGGACAGAAAGACGAUAACGGGGUUAAGGAAAAAAAAGUUUAGACAAAAUCGUCAUCGUUUCCUUUCAUAAAUGACUUGCAUGCAGCUGAAUAAAACUAACCUAACCUGCUUAAUUUGUGGUAGAACCAAUUAACUUAAAAUCAAGAACGAAAAAAUUCCGCAUGAUCUUGAGUACACCAAGUUCCCUAAUUUCAUAGGUUUACGCGUCAAAAGCAUCCAGAUGAAUGUAACCUUAGAGCCAAUUAAACGCAACUUUUCAUUAGAGACUGAUAAUACUUCACUGAAUAUCGACGCGCUAAAGGAGACCACGUUAUCUAUGCCAUCAGGACCUACUCAUCAAAAUGAGAACGCACCAGAAGCAGCAGACACACCACAAUCAAGCACAAGUACUCCACAUUCGCCCCCAGUGAAAGCAGGCAUAAUGCAACCGAAAACGAGUCUACUCUUGGAUCCGCUACCACCAACAGAAGAACCACUGCCUGCAACCGCUUGGAUAUGCCCCGCAGAGGGACAGAAAGUGUCGUUCACUUGUCCUGCGAGUUCCAAUACAAACACUAACGCUGGAGACGCCAUUACGGCUACCAAUUCCACCACUGGUAGGAAUGGGAAGUGUUCCUUCCAACCGCUCUUUGGUGGCAACUGCUGGGCACCUGAAAUGAAACGCAUCUACGGCGGUGCCAGCGCCACGGAAGGCCAGUUCCCAUAUAACGUCUUGCUUUUAACGUCGAAAGGUGGCAGCACUUUUCAGUUGCACUGGUACGAUUCUCUCCAAUAACUGGGUACUCACGGCAGCUCACUGCAUGUGUACCGAAGGCAAAACUACCACGAGGGUUGUGGUCAAAUACGGCAGUGCUUCUCAGAGCACUGCUCUACGCCAAGAGGUCAAACGCAUCAUCGUUCACCCUAAAUUUGCAAAGAACCAAUCACCGUAUUUCAUGCUGCCAUUACUACACCUUUUAAACCGCAGUACCUUUGCAUUUACAAGGUGAAUGACAUCGCCCUCUUAGAACUCUGUGCACCCUUGGACAUGAGCCUACCCGGGGUUAAACCUAUCUGCUUCACCAAGGAAGACCUGGCAUACACUGGAACGGUUACCAUCACAGGAUGGGGCAAAACGCCUAGUACAAUGUUCCCCGACUCACUGCAACAUGCAGUCCUGAACAUCUACCCAGUGGAUACGUGCAAAAGAUUGUACACCAUCUUCAAGGCUGGGUUUCGUGAUGAGUGGAACAAGAUGUGCACCUUCACCAGGGACAAAUAUCCUUGUGAUGGUGACAGUGGAGGGGCACUUGUAGCGGAGGUAUCUCCUGGUUGCCACAUUCAAGUGGGAAUUACAAGCUAUGGCACCUGCACUUCAAGACUGCCAAAUGUCGCCACAAAAGUGUCUUCUUUUGCCGACUGGAUUUGUGAAUCAACUUCACUCUGUUAGAGAGAUUUACUGUCUGCUAAAUACAAGGCCUGAAACAGUUUUAAAAUUUUUUUUAUUGCAUGCCAGCAGUGUUAACUGUCCAUUUGGGUUGAUAUGUUAUUGAUCAACCUUCUUGUAUAUGUAUGGAACAGCUGGUGUAGUGGAAUUUUUCUGUAGCUGGUUUUAUCCUGUAUCAGCUGAGAGAACAAAAAAUAUGAUAACUGAC